UACGGAGGGUGCGAGCGUUGUUCGGAAUUACUGGGCGUAAAGCGUGUGUAGGUGGAUGACUAAGUACCUUGUGAAAUCCCACGGCUCAACCGUGGAACUGCUUGGUAUACUGGUUGUCUUGAGGCACUCAGGGGCGAGCGGAACAGAUGGUGGAGCGGUGAAAUGCGUAGAUAUCGGGAGGAACGCCGGUGGCGAAAGCGACUGUCUGGGGUGCCUGUGACGCUGAGGCGCGAAAGCCAGGGGAUCAAACGGG
rnacentral:rRNA from 1 species